rnacentral:rRNA from 1 species
UACGUAGGGUGCAAGCGUUGUCCGGAAUUAUUGGGCGUAAAGAGCUCGUAGGCGGUCUGUCGCGUCGGCUGUGAAAUCCCGAGGCUCAACCUCGGGUCUGCAGUCGAUACGGGCAAACUGGAGUGUUGCAGGGGAGACUGGAAUUCCUGGUGUAGCGGUGAAAUGCGCAAAUAUCAGGAGGAACACCGGUGGCGAAGGCGGGUCUCUGGGCAACAACUGACGCUGAGGAGCGAAAGCGUGGGGAGCGAACAGG